rnacentral:rRNA from 1 species
AACGAACGCUGGCGGCAUGCCUAACACAUGCAAGUCGAACGAGACCUUCGGGUCUAGUGGCGCACGGGUGCGUAACGCGUGGGAACCUGCCCUUAGGUUCGGAAUAACUCCCCGAAAGGGGUGCUAAUACCGGAUAAUGUCUUCGGACCAAAGAUUUAUCGCCUUUGGAUGGGCCCGCGUUGGAUUAGCUAGUUGGUAGGGUAAAAGCCUACCAAGGCGACGAUCCAUAGCUGGUCUGAGAGGAUGAUCAGCCACACUGGGACUGAGACACGGCCCAGACUCCGAGGGUAGGCAGCAGUAGGGACUCUUACGGGAGGGGGGAAAGCGGAAUGUAGCAAAGCGGCGUGAGUGAUGAACGUCUUCGGAUCGGAGAACGCUGAAGUCAGGGGGGAAGAAAUGUGUUAGUAACCAGGCAGGUAUUGACGGUACCGAAUCAGAAAGCCACGGCUAACUACGUG